GAUGAACGCUGGCGGCGUGCCUAAUACAUGCAAGUCGAGCGAACAGACGAGGAGCUUGCUCCUCUGACGUUAGCGGCGGACGGGUGAGUAACACGUGGAUAACCUACCUAUAAGACUGGGAUAACUUCGGGAAACCGGAGCUAAUACCGGAUAAUAUAUUGAACCGCAUGGUUCAAUAGUGAAAGACGGUUUUGCUGUCACUUAUAGAUGGAUCCGCGCCGCAUUAGCUAGUUGGUAAGGUAACGGCUUACCAAGGCAACGAUGCGUAGCCGACCUGAGAGGGUUAUCCGCCACACUGGAACUGAGACACGGUCCAGACUCCUACGGGAGGCAGCAGUAGGGAAACUUCCGCAAUGGGCGAAAGCUUGACGGAGCAACGCCGCGUGAGUGAUGAAGGUCUUCGGAUCGUAAAACUCUGUUAUUAGGGAAGAACAAAUGUGUAAGUAACUAUGCACGUCUUGACGGUACCUAAUCAGAAAGCCACGGCUAACUACGUG
rnacentral:rRNA from 1 species